rnacentral:rRNA from 1 species
UACGUAGGGUGCGAGCGUUAAUCGGAAUUACUGGGCGUAAAGCGUGCGCAGGCGGUUCGUUGUGUCGGCGGUGAAAGCCCCGGGCUUAACCUGGGAAUGGCCGUUGAAACUGGCGAACUGGAGUGUGGCAGAGGGGGGUGGAAUUCCUGGUGUAGCGGUGGAAUGCGCAGAUAUCAGGAGGAACACCGAUGGCGAAGGCAGGUCUCUGGGCCAUUACUGACACUGAGAAGCGAAAGCAUGGGGAGCGAACAGG